GUUUGUCAUCAAUACGUAGUACAACUACGUCAGUAGUCUAUUAUAUAAUAAGUUCAACUGUUCAUGCUGUUGGCGGCAAUUUCAAAUUAGAAAAAGAAAUUUUCGUAUCUUUUCAAUUUGAGGCAGGUGUGCAAAUUAGCAGUGUCGCGAGGUCCGCGACCUUCCACUUUUGCAAGCGGAAUUUCGCCUAGGAUAGUUGGUUACUAGCUACGCCCGACGUAGUCACCUUCCACUUGAAAGAAAAUAAGAGUUAACUUUGCAAACCUUUUCACCAGUCUCCAAUUAAACGAGCUAAAAACUUAUUUUUAUCAUUAUUAUUCAUGACAGCGAUGUUCGUUUUGUUCAAUCGCUAGCUUUAUACAGAAAAUCGCCGACAAAUAUUGUAUAAAUUCGAGUAAAAUCGUAUCUGAUUGACAAAAACAACAUUGUAAAAACAUAACAAUGGCGGCCGUGAAGACUAAAUUUUACAAUAUCGGAUCCGAUCCGAAGCGGAUAAGGGUAAUUCCGGGUUUGGCGAUCAAUUACGCAGGUGAAAAAAAAUACAUCUAUGCAUGGUAAAUGAAUAUAAACACGAGAAUUGUAAACCA
rnacentral:lncRNA from 1 species